CCUACGGGAGGCAGCAGUCGAGAAUCAUUCACAAUGGGGGAAACCCUGAUGGUGCGACGCCGCGUGGGGGAAUGCAGGUCUACGGAUUGUAAACCGCUGUUAUGUGGGAGCAAAUUAAAAAGAUAGUACCACAAGAGGAAGAGACGGCUAACUCUGUGCGAGCAGCUGCGGUAAUACAGAGGUCUCAAGCGUUGUUCGGAAUCACUGGGCGUAAAGCGUGCGUAGGCUGUUGCGUAAGUCGUGUGUGAAAGGCGCGGGCUCAACCCGCGGACGGCACAUGAUACUGCGAGACUAGAGUAAAGUAGAGGGAACCGGAAUUCGCGGUGUAGCAGUGAAAUGCGUAGAUAUCGAGAAGAACACUCGUGGCGAAGGCGGGUUCCUGGACAUUAACUGACGCUGAGGCACGAAGGCCAGGGGAGCGAAAGGGAUUAGAUACCCUUGUAGUC
rnacentral:rRNA from 1 species